rnacentral:rRNA from 1 species
CGAAGGGUGCAAGCGUUACUCGGAAUUACUGGGCGUAAAGCGUGCGUAGGUGGUUUGUUAAGUCUGAUGUGAAAGCCCUGGGCUCAACCUGGGAAUGGCAUUGGAUACUGGCGAGCUAGAGUGCGGUAGAGGGCAGUGGAAUUCCCGGUGUAGCAGUGAAAUGCGUAGAGAUCGGGAGGAACAUCUGUGGCGAAGGCGACUGCCUGGACCAGCACUGACACUGAGGCACGAAAGCGUGGGGAGCAAACAGGAUUAGAUACCCUGGUAGUCCACGCCCUAAACGAUGCGAACUGGAUGUUGGGUGCAACUAGGCACUCAGUAUCGAAGCUAACGCGUUAAGUUCGCCGCCUGGGGAGUACGGUCGCAAGACUG